GUUAUAGUCCAUUGCUGGUUUGCCAACGCUCUCUCUCUCUCUCUCUCUCUUUCAGAAACAUAGAAGCGUUUCAGUGCGACUGCUGGUGCUGUAAGCUAUGGAGGAGUACUCGGUAGACGACCCAACUCAGCUACUCGAAGCUGCUUCCGAUUUCGCAAACUACCCCGGUUUUCAAAACGACGAUUCAGCUAAGGAAUUCCUCGAUCGCUUCCCACUUCCUGUCAUUCUCAAUGCUUUGCAAACGAAAGCCGAUGUGCCGGGUCUGGAAAGCACACUGGUUGCUGUUUUGGAAAGGGUGUUCAAGACCAAAUAUGGCGCUUCUCUCAUCCCCCAUUUCAUGCCAUUUGUACAAGUUGGUCUGACGGCAGAGUCUCAGGAAGUCAAAUCUUUAGCUUGUACAACGGUUUCUUGUCUUCUCGAGAAUUUGAAUGAAGGUUCUGUUUCUGCAACACGCCUUAUACUUUACCACAAUAUAUAUCCUCUUUUGCUGGAUUGCCUCAUUCAUGGCAAUGAAAAAGUUGCAACUCUAGCAAUGGAUGCAAUAGAGAAGAUAGCUGGUUCUCCCGAGGGCAUAGAUAUUGUCUUCCCGGCUAAUACUAACGAAGCUACACAUCUUGGGGCUCUAUCAGCCCAAUGCUCGUCAGUGGGACGGGUCCGGGUUCUGGCUUUGAUAGUGAAGCUAGUCUCUGUGUCCGCUGAUGUAGCAUCAGUAGUUCAAAAGUCAAAUCUACUUGGACUUUUGAGGCAGAAAUCAAUAACAGAACUGAUACCCUUUCAACCUUGAGCAUUUUGGAACUUUUGUAUGAGUUGUCAGAGAUCGAGCAUGAUAGAGAGUUUUUGUCUGCAAGCACCCUUCUGCAACUACUUAGUUCUAUAAUCAGCAACAAAUCAAUGGAGUCGAUUUUAAGAACAAGGGCAAUGAUGAUUAGUGGAAGAAUUCUGUCCAAGGAGAAUUACAUACAUGCUGAUGAAUUAAGUGUAAAAACUGUAUUAUCGGCCAUAGACGGGAUACUUAGUUCAUCCGAAACUCAAGAAAUAGAUGAAUGUGAAUCUGCUAUUGAAGCACUGGGUCAAAUAGGGUCAUCAAUUCAAGGAGCGCAGUUUCUAUUGUCAAGUUCACCACCAGCUGCAAGACAUGUUAUCUAUGCUGCCUUUGAUAGGCACGGACAUGGUAAACAACUGGCUGCCUUACAUGCCCUUGGAAACAUCUCUGGAGAAACUCGGCCUGCGAACAGCAUGAUACUGACUAGUGAUGCAGAAGAAAGCCUUCGACGCUUGAUUUAUGAAACAGCAUCUAAGAGUUCAAAGCUGACACCAUCUGGCCUUUUCCUAUCAGUUCUCAAACAGGAUUCAGAAAUUCGUUUGGCGGGAUAUCGAAUGCUGUCUGGGUUGGUUGCUCGUCCAUGGUGCCUGAUGGAGAUUUGCUCAAAGCAAGAGAUAAUAAAUAUAGUGACUGAUCCAAUUACUGAAACCACUAAACUAGGUAUGGAAGCCAGAUAUAAUUGCUGCAAGGCAAUCCACACCGCUUUUAACAUGUCAAGUAAACUUGCCAGCGACCAAUCUCUUUCUGGGAUUGCGGCAAAGUUGCACGAAGCUGUUAAAAUGGGUCCGUACCUUGCUAGUAAGCACCUUGAGGCUCAACCCAUGGUGGUGACGGAGGACAGAUUCUAGACUAGCAUCAGCCACCGUGUGCAGCUUAUGAGUUUACUGUUACCGUAUGUUGCCUACAAAAGUUUGUUCAUAUUAACAGUGGAAGUGUGUUUAGCUGUGAAUUCUCCUGAAUUUUAAGCUGUGAAUUUAAAGGAGAAUUACUGCCCUUUCAGAACUUAAAUACGUAAAGCUAGAGCGGAAUUUGGAAUUCCAUUUAGCAUCAAAGACAAUUCUCUCAAGUUUCUCAGGAUACAAAAUUCUCCUUUAAUUCCAGUUUAAAGGUAGAUGUAUUGGUUUCAGUGAAACUAGCGCACAAUCAAGGAUUUAAAUUUUGUUUUUUAUGGAUAAUCGGUAGUUCAAAUUUA